rnacentral:rRNA from 1 species
AGUAACAGGGGGGUAACGUACCUCGAAGUGAGGGAUAGCCCGGGGAAACUCGAGUUAAUACCUCAUAUGGCCGCGGGAUCUACGGCUCCUGCGGGUAAAGAUUUCGGUCGCUUCGAGAUCGGCCCGCCCCCGAUUAGCUUGUUGGUGAGGUAAUGGCUCACCAAGGCGGCGAUCGGUAGCUGGCCUGAGAGGGUGGUCAGCCACACUGGGACUGAGACACGGCCCAGACUCCUACGGGAGGCAGCAGUCUAGAAGCUUCGGCAAUGGGCGAAAGCCUGACCGAGCGACGCCGCGUGCGGGAUUGAAGGCCUUCGGGUCGUAAACCGCUGUCAGGAGGGAAGAAUGCUCCGGUGGUGAACCGGAGAGCGACGGUACCUCCAGAGGAAGCCCCGGCCAACUCCGUGCCAGCAGCCGCGGUAAUACGGAGGGGGCGAGCGUUAAUCGGAAUUACUGGGCGUAAAGGGUGCGUAGGUGGUUGCGCAAGUCUGGUGUGAAAACUUCACCGCUCAACGGGAAGAUGUCAUUGGAAACUGCGUAACUCGAGCGUGGCAGAGGCGAGCGGAAUUCCGGGUGUAGCGGUGGAAUGUGUAGAUAUCCGGAAGAACACCAGUGGCGAAGGCGGCUCGCUGAGCCACUGCUGACACUGAGGCACGAAAGCGUGGGGAGCGAACGGGAUUAGAUACCCCGGUAGUCCACGCCGUAAACGGUGCGCACUAGGUGUUGGAGGUAUCGACCCCUCCAGUGCCGCAGCUAACGCAUUAAGUGCGCCGCCUGGGGAGUACGGCCGCAAGGCUGAAACUCAAAGGAAUUGACGGGGGCCCGCACAAGCGGUGGAGGAUGUUGUUUAAUUCGAUGCAACGCGAAGAACCUUACCCGGGCUUGAACUGCAAGGUAAACCCCUGGAAACAGGGGCUGUGGUUCGCCACGACCUUGUAGAGGUGCUGCAUGGCUGUCGUCAGCUCGUGUCGUGAGAUGUUGGGUUAAGUCCCGAAACGAGCGCAUCCCCGGUGGUUAGUUGGCAACGGUUCGGCCGGGCAGUCUAGCGAGACUGCCGGUGAUAAACGGGAGGAAGGUGGGGAUGAUGUCAAGUCAUCAUGGCCCUUACGUCCAGGGGUACAAUCGUCUUACAAUGGCUGGGACAUCGAGUCGUGA